rnacentral:rRNA from 1 species
AGAGUUUGAUCCUGGCUCAGAAUGAACGCUGGCGGCAUGGAUUAGGCAUGCAAGUCGAACGAGAAAGCGGCUUCGGCCGCGAGUAAAGUGGCGAAAGGGUGAGUAACACGUGAGGAACCUGCCCCCUGGCCCGGAACAAGCCUGUGAAAACGGGUCUGAAACCGGAUGAGGCUCCCUCCCGCAUGGGAGGGCGGCCAAAUAUUCAUAGCCAAGGGAUGGUCUCGCGUCCCAUUAGCUAGUUGGCGGGGUAACGGCCCACCAAGGCUGCGACGGGUAGGUGGUCUGAGAGGAUGGUCACCCACACUGGGACUGAGACACUGCCCAGACUCCUACGGGAGGCUGCAGUCGAGAAUCUUCCGCAAUGGGCGCAAGCCUGACGGAGCGAUGCCGCGUGAGGGACGAAGGCCUUCGGGUCGUAAACCUCUGUGGGGGGGAACGAACGCAAUGACGGUACCCCCUUAGAAAGCCACGGCUAACCACGUGCCAGCAGCCGCGGUAAUACGUGGGUGGCGAGCGUUAUUCGGAUUCACUGGGC